UUCCUAAAAAUCGAAAACAAAAUCAUUAAUAAGAAGAAAAGGAAACCUUUUCCCCAAUCAAGGAAUAUUAAAAGAAUAUAUUAACUGUGCAUGUUAGUUGGACAAAAAGAAAACAUCUAUUUUGUGCGACAGUAAACAGGAAAAUAAGAAAAGCAUUGCGACUAAAUUCAAAUGCUAAAAAGAUUUCCAGCAAGGAUAUAUAUUUUCUUCUCUACAUCAUUUUUUGUUUUAUCUCGUUUGUUAUAUCUAGAAUUUGAAUAAACCAACAUACAAUAAAGAUACUCAUAACUAGUGGUGUUUCUCCUUUUAUCAAACCUUUAUCAUGCAAUCCAACAACGCUUGCUUUAUUUCGUAUCUGCAUCAAUAACAGUGUCGAGAAUAGGAAAGAAAAAUAUAAGAGUUAUGAAUUGAAAAGGAUGAUAAAAAUUUAGAUUGGCAGGUCAUAAAAGUUGAAAGCUCUCAACCAGAUGCAAGAAUUUUAAGGAUUUUAGGUAAAAAUACCAUUGAAAUAAAAAAGAGGUAAACAUGCAUUCAAAUAGAAGCAAACAAUGUGAAUCAUUCAGAACUUGUAGUCAAGAACCUUACACAACCAUGAGUAGGCUAAGGCCUGUAUAUUUCUAUGAACUGCUGUCCAUGCAAUAAAAGACGUGGAUCAAAUAUGGCAACAUAUAAGUCAGACUGUUAAUUAAUAAAAUUUCUGCAAUUCAAGGUAAAAUGCAGACAAGGAAAUGAGGUUGAGUUUAAAAUGUAAUGCAAAUACUUACGACAACCCAGGUAUUUCCGAAAUAUGUGUUCCGUUAGAAAAUAAAACAGCAAAAGUUGGCAAGACCUACAAGUAGGAAGUUGAUACAAA
rnacentral:lncRNA from 1 species